rnacentral:rRNA from 1 species
UAAGGAAUAUUGGACAAUGGCCGCAAGGCUGAUCCAGCCAUGCCGCGUGCAGGAUGAAGGUGCUCUGCAUUGUAAACUGCUUUUGUUCGGGAAUAAACCCCUCUACGUGUAGAGGGCUGAAUGUACCGAAAGAAUAAGGGACGGCUAACUUCGUGCCAGCAGCCGCGGUAAUACGAAGGUCCCAAGCGUUAUCCGGAUUUAUUGGGUUUAAAGGGUGCGUAGGCGGGUUAUUAAGUCAGUGGUGAAAGCCUACAGCUUAACUGUAGAAUUGCCAUUGAUACUGAUGAUCUUGAGUAUGAUUGAGGUGGGCGGAAUGUGUCAUGUAGCGGUGAAAUGCUUAGAUAUGACACAGAACACCGAUUGCGAAGGCAGCUCACUAAGCCAUAACUGACGCUGAUGC